AUUGAACGCUGGCGGCAGGCCUAACACAUGCAAGUCGAGCGGCAGCGGGAAGUAGCUUGCUACUUUGCCGGCGAGCGGCGGACGGGUGAGUAACGCGUGGGAAUCUACCCAUUUGUGGGGGAUAACUUGGGGAAACCCAAGCUAAUACCGCAUAAUCCCUACGGGGGAAAGCAGGGGACCUUUUGGCCUUGCGCAGAUGGAUGAGCCCGCGUCGGAUUAGCUAGUUGGUAGGGUAAAGGCCUACCAAGGCGACGAUCCGUAACUGGUCUGAGAGGAUGACCAGUCACAUCGGGACUGAGACACGGCCCGAACUCCUACGGGAGGCAGCAGUGGGGAAUCUUGGACAAUGGGGGCAACCCUGAUCCAGCCAUGCCGCGUGUGUGAAGAAGGCCCUAGGGUUGUAAAGCACUUUCAGUAGGGAGGAAGGCUUCGGGUUAAUACCCUGGAGUACUUGACGUUACCUACAGAAGAAGCACCGGCUAAUUUCGUGCCAGCAGCCGCGGUAAUACGAAAGGUGCGAGCGUUAAUCGGAAUUACUGGGCGUAAAGCGCGCGUAGGCGGUUAGUUAAGUCGGAUGUGAAAGCCCAGGGCUCAACCUUGGAACUGCAUCCGAUACUGGCUAGCUAGAGUGCAGUAGAGGGAGGUGGAAUUUCCGGUGUAGCGGUGAAAUGCGUAGAGAUCGGAAGGAACACCAGUGGCGAAGGCGGCCUCCUGGACUGACACUGACGCUGAGGUGCGAAAGCGUGGGGAGCAAACA
rnacentral:rRNA from 1 species